GCUUACACAUGCAAGUCGAGCGGUAACAUUUCUAGCUUGCUAGAAGAUGACGAGCGGCGGACGGGUGAGUAACGCGUAGGAAUCUGCCUAGUAGUGGGGGACAACAUGUGGAAACGCAUGCUAAUACCGCAUACGCCCUACGGGGGAAAGGAGGGGAUCUUCGGACCUUUCGCUAUUAGAUGAGCCUGCGUGAGAUUAGCUAGUUGGUGGGGUAAAGGCCUACCAAGGCGACGAUCUCUAGCUGGUCUGAGAGGAUGAUCAGCCACACUGGGACUGAGACACGGCCCAGACUCCUACGGGAGGCAGCAGUGGGGAAUAUUGGACAAUGGGCGCAAGCCUGAUCCAGCCAUGCCGCGUGUGUGAAGAAGGCCUUAGGGUUGUAAAGCACUUUCAGGAGUGAGGAAGGGUGUACGGUUAAUACCCGUAUAUUUUGACGUUAACUCCAGAAGAAGCACCGGCUAACUCUGUGCCAGCAGCCGCGGUAAUACAGAGGGUGCGAGCG
rnacentral:rRNA from 1 species